rnacentral:rRNA from 1 species
CGAUUCCUACGGGAGGCAGCAGUGAGGAAUAUUGGUCAAUGGACGAGAGUCUGAACCAGCCAAGUAGCGUGCAGGAAGACGGCCCUAUGGGUUGUAAACUGCUUUUAUAUAGGGAUAAAGUGCACUACGUGUAGUGUUUUGUAGGUACUAUAUGAAUAAGGACCGGCUAAUUCCGUGCCAGCAGCCGCGGUAAU